rnacentral:rRNA from 1 species
UACAGAGGUCUCAAGCGUUGUUCGGAAUCACUGGGCGUAAAGGGCGUGUAGGCGGUCAGAUAAGUGGAAUGUGAAAUGCCCCGGCUCACCCGGGGACCGGCAUCCCAAACUGUCUGGCUUGAGUAUGGGAGAGGAUGAGGGAAUUCCUGGUGUAGCGGUGAAAUGCGUAGAUAUCAGGAGGAACACCGGUGGCGAAGGCGCUCAUCUGGCCCAAUACUGACGCUGAUGCGCGAAAGCGUGGGGAGCAAACAGG